rnacentral:rRNA from 1 species
GAUGAACGCUAGCGGCAGGCCUAAUACAUGCAAGCCGAACGGCAAGCUUUGUAGCAAUACGGAGCCUAGAGUGGCGUAAGGGUGCGUAACACGUAUGCAAUCUACCCUCAACAGGAGAAUAGCUCCCCGAAAGGGGAAUUAAUGUUCCAUAGGAUCAUGGUGCGGCAUCGCACAGUGAUUAAACCGCAAGGGGUUGAGGAUGAGCAUGCGCAUGAUUAGUUAGUUGGCGGGGUAACCGCCACCAAGACGAUGAUCAGUUAGGGGAACUGAGAGGUUGACUCCCCACACUGGCACUGAG